rnacentral:lncRNA from 1 species
CUCCCUGCUUCUUUGUUCUCCCCUUCCCGCUGCAACUCAGGUGACCACAGCAAUAGGCAUGUGCAAGGUACGAAACACUGCAGACCCGGCACGAACUUUCAGCCAACCCCUCCUUGGACGUCUGCCACCCACAAGACCAGCCUAUCACCCAUGGACACGUUCCCUUCCCUCUCUAUAUAUCCUCGUGUUUUACCCCCAGUAAAUGAGGCUUGAUCAGAAUCCUGUCUUGCCUCCAUUCUUCGUGUCUCUUGUCCCCGUCUCUGUGUCAUUUGCUUUGUUUCUAGAUCCCUGAGCUUGGUCGUAUGGGAGACGUCCUCUUAUAUUGGCCUGGCCCGCGGGCGGGUCCGGGUCAAAUGCCAUGCAACCAUCACCACCACCGGGUACCAGGCUUUUCAUCACCCCAACCAGGAACUGCACCCACUGAGCAGUAACGCCCCUUCCUGCCUGGCCCCGGAGCGCCUCCCGUCUGCUCUGUGCCUCGGGAAGGUGCCCGUUCCGGCCAUGCCCUACCAGGGGAGACGCACACUCUGCCCUCUCGUGUCUGGCUUCUUCCACUUCACGCGAGGCUUCUGGGGGCGUCUGCGCAGUCCGGGUCAGAACCCCAUUCCUUCCUAGGCCGAGUGACCGUCCCCCGCUGGGUGGACCCCAUUGGUUGACCCAUGCACCUGUCGAGGCUCACCUGGCUGCCUCCACCUUUUGGCUGCUGUGAACGGGGCCGCGAUGAUCGGUGGUGUUCCAGUGUCUUCAGGAGUGCAAAGCCAGGCGGGCCUUUGCACCUGGCAGGCAGGUGUUUUAGACGGUGGACGGUCCCAACGUGCAGGAGGCCAUCGAGGGGUCUGCCCUAGGAGGGCGGCAGCGCUGACCUGCGUCGGGACUCCACGGACGCCCAGGGGCAGGCCCAGGGGCACUGCCACCGGGCACAGGUGUGUAACCGGACUCUUGGAAGGUUCUGGCACGACAGAGCGCCUCCUCCCACCUCAGCCCGGCGUGCGCCCCCGGCCUGCUGCGCUAGCAGCCACGCUGGCACAGCACUGGCAGGAGCAGAAGCUGCGUGCCUCGCCCACACUGUCCGAACCCGGCGCCGCAGCCAAACGACCGUUUGCCCACAGCCACGUCCAGUUCUGAACCGCGACAUGCCGUCUUGCGUCCCAGGCGGACAGCCUUCCACCGGGACCCCUCCUCUGUGCAGGGAGAGUGACAUUUCCCACCGCAUUUGACGCUUUUUUUUUUUAUAAUGACAAUUUUAUUUUAUUUUAUUAUUCAUUUUUUAAAAAUAUUACAUUCAAAAAAUAUGAGGUCCCAUUCAACCCCAACGCCCCCACCCCACCACUCCCUCCACAGCAACACUCUCUCCCAUCAUCAUGUCACAUCCAUUGCAUUUGGUAAGUACAUCUCUGGGUAUCGCUGCACCUCAUGGUCAAUAGUCCACAUCAUAGCCCAUACUCUCCCACGUUCCAUCCAGUGGGCCCUGGGAGGAUCUACAAUAUCCGGUAAUUGUCCCUGAAGCACCACCCAGGACAACUCCAAGUCCCGAAAACGCCUCCACAUCUCAUCUCUUCCUCCCAUUCCCCGCACCCAGCAGCCACCAUGGCCACUUUUCCCACACCAAUGCCACAUUUUCUCUGUGGACCUUGGAUUGGUUGUGUCCAUUGCACUUCUAUGUCAAGAGGGGCUUAAAUUCCACAUGGAUACUGGAUGCAAUCCUCCUGCUUUCAGUUGUAGGCACUCUAGGCUCCAUGGUGUGGUGGUUGACCUUCUUCAACUCCAUGUUAGCUGAGUGGGGUAAGUCCAAUAAAUCAGAGUGUAGGAGUUGAAGCCUGUUGAGGCUCAGGGCCUGGCUAUCAUAUUGUUAGUCCAGAGAUUCAAAUCCCCUAGAUAUAUCUUAAACCCCAGCACCAACUACAAUUCCCAUAAAGUGAAAA